GCCUCGGCGGAUCAGCCCGCGCCCCGUAAAACGGGACGGCCCGCCAGAGGACCCAAACUCUAAUGUUUCUUAUUGUAACUUCUGAGUAAAACAAACAAAUAAAUCAAAACUUUCAACAACGGAUCUCUUGGUUCUGGCAUCGAUGAAGAACGCAGCAAAAUGCGAUAAGUAAUGUGAAUUGCAGAAUUCAGUGAAUCAUCGAAUCUUUGAACGCACAUUGCGCCCGCUGGUAUUCCGGCGGGCAUGCCUGUUCGAGCGUCAUUUCAACCCUCAAGCCCCCGGGUUUGGUGUUGGGGAUCGGCUCUGCCCUUCUGGGCGGUGCCGCCCCCGAAAUACAUUGGCGGUCUCGCUGCAGCCUCCAUUGCGUAGUAGCUAACACCUCGCAACUGGAACGCGGCGCGGCCAUGCCGUAAAACCCCAACUUCUGAAUGUUGACCUCGGAUCAGGUAGGAAUACCCGCUGAACUUAAGCAUAUCAAUAAGCGGAGGAA
rnacentral:rRNA from 1 species